GGAAAAGCAAGUAAAACUUGUAACUCACAUAGCAACAUUCUUUACCAAUAUAAUUCUGUAGUAGUAACGGCCAUUACCCUAUAUUCCGCCUCAGUGCUUGAACGAGAAACCACAUGGAGAACUCUUUUAGUUGCAAUCCAGUGAGCUGUGGAUGGUGAGGCGAGAUGUUGACACGGCUGAUUAACAGAAAAGGCAAUUUUAGGCCAUGUAAUGGUACAAUAUUGGAGAGCACCGACUACAUGUCUAUACAAGGUCGGAUCAGGAAGAGCUUCACCGGUUGAUUUGGACAAUUGAGUGCCGGCAACACAUGGAGCCGAGUAAGGUUUGGCACCAAUCAUUUCAACUCUGGUAAGAACAUUAAUAAUAUAUUUGGCUUGACACAGAUGAAGACCAGAAGAAUCCCGAUAUGCCUGAAUGCCAAGGAAAAAUGCAAGAGUACCAAGAUCUUUAACUGGAAAGAUCUUUUGUAAGGUGAGAAUAACUUUCUGAAUCAGAUGAGCAUGAGUGCCUGUAAUAUAAUAUCAUCCACAUAGAUAAGGAUAUAAAUGUGUACAUUAGAAGUAUGAUAGAUAAAUAAUGAUGAGUCCACUUUAGAGCCAAGGAAACCAAGAUUUGCAAGGACAUUCUGUAGGUGAGAGAACCAUGUCGUGGUGCUUACUUAAGACCAUAGAUUGCCUUGUUCAGAGAGCACACAUAAUCCGAAUAGGUAGGAUCCACAAAUUCUUGUGGUUGUUCCAUAACCACUUUCUCUACAAGAGUUCCAUGAAGAAAAGCAUUAGAUACAUCAAGUUGAAGGAUGGGCCAAUCAAAUUGAAUAGCUAAUGCUACUAGUAAUCUGACAGUUGUGGGCUUAGUCACAGGACUAAAAGUCUCGUGAUAGUCUACUUCGCUAUUUUGUUGAAAACCUUUGGCUAUAAGCCAAGCCUUAAAUCGAUCAAUGGUGCCAUCAGCUUUCUAUUUUAUUUUAUAUACCUAUUUGGACCGAAUAAUGUUGCAAUGAGGUGGUCUAGGACAAAGAGUCCAUGUGUUAUUAAAAAUCAGGGCAUCGAAUUCUUGCUUCAUGGCAUCCUGCCACUUAGGAUCUUUGGCAGCACUAUUAUAAUGAGAAGGCUCCAUAGUUUGUAAAACAGAUGAAAAGGACUUUAUGGGAUGUAGGUUAGAGUAAUAUAGGGUAAACUCUAGAAAUGUUUUUGGUUUAAGUGAUCUAGUUUGCAUUGAAUGGGAAGAGACGAAAGGCACGGCAGGCAUUGAUUCAUUGGAAUGUAUUGAUGGAGGAGAGGAUAUUAUGGGAGGAGGAGAAAUAUCAUCGUUUGUUUUGGUGGGAGAGGAUAUUGAAGGUGAGUGAGAGAGAUCUUGGCUUGAGAAAUGAGGUGAUGAGAUCGUUGGAGAGCUAGAAUUUUGGAUAGGUGUGCUGAGGGGAGUUGAUGUAGGAAGUGACAAAGUAGGGUCAACUGAAGGAAAAUUAGAGAUAAAAUAUGAAGGAGAUAAACUAGGAAAACUUACCUCUAUUGCAGAUGGAGCCGUGUGCUGUAAAGAGGUAGUGGGAACAGCUUUAUCCAGUCCUGGGAAGAGAGAUUCAUCAAAGAUCUCAUGACGGGAGAUGUAGAAUUUCCUAGAGAGAGGUUCAAAACAUUUGUAACUUUUGUGCCCAACAUUAUAUCCCAGAAAAAUGCAAGCUUUGGUGCGAUGUUCUGAUUUCUGUUUAGUAUAUGGUAUGAGAAGUGGAUAACACCGAUAACCAAAGCUUUUGAGAAAUGAUUGAGGCUGCUGUCAUGAUUGAUAUUUUCCUCAACAAAAACGACAUUAUUGACGUGACUUCCUAAUGCUUGUAUUGUAAAC
rnacentral:lncRNA from 1 species